rnacentral:rRNA from 1 species
AGUGAACGCUGGCGGUAGGCCUAACACAUGCAAGUCGAACGGCAGCGCAGUAAGAGCUUGCUCUUACGGGUGGCGAGUGGCGGACGGGUGAGGAAUACAUCGGAAUCUACUUUUUCGUGGGGGAUAACGUAGGGAAACUUACGCUAAUACCGCAUACGACCUACGGGUGAAAGCAGGGGAUCUUCGGACCUUGCGCGAUUGAAUGAGCCGAUGUCGGAUUAGUUAGUUGGCGGGGUAAAGGCCCACCAAGGCGACGAUCCGUAGCUGGUCUGAGAGGAUGAUCAGCCACACUGGAACUGAGACACGGUCCAGACUCCUACGGGAGGCAGCAGUGGGGAAUAUUGGACAAUGGGCGCAAGCCUGAUCCAGCCAUACCGCGUGGGUGAAGAAGGCCUUCGGGUUGUAAAGCCCUUUUGUUGGGAAAGAAAAGCAGCAGGUUAAUACCCCGCUGUUCUGACGGUACCCAAAGAAUAAGCACCGGCUAACUUCGUG